CCCAGACUCCUACGGGAGGCAGCAGUGGGGGAUAUUGCACAAUGGGGGAAACCCUGAUGCAGCGACGCCGCGUGGGUGAAGAAGCGCCUCGGCGCGUAAAGCCCUGUCAGCAGGGAAGAAAAUGACGGUACCUGAAGAAGAAGCCCCGGCUAACUACGUGCCAGCAGCCGCGGUAAUACGUAGGGGGCAAGCGUUAUCCGGAUUUAUUGGGUUUAAAGGGUGCGCAGGCGGGCUGUUAAGCCGGCGAUAAAAAUUCAGGGCUCAACCCUGUCGAGCCGUCGGAACUGGCAGUCUUGAGUGGGCGAGAAGUAUGCGGAAUGCGUGGUGUAGCGGUGAAAUGCAUAGAUAUCACGCAGAACGCCGAUUGCGAAGGCAGCAUACCGGCGCCCAACUGACGCUGAGGCACGAAAGCGUGGGUAUCGAACAGGAUUAGAUACCCCCGUAGCA
rnacentral:rRNA from 1 species